rnacentral:rRNA from 1 species
CCUACGGGAGGCAGCAGUAAGGAAUAUUGGUCAAUGGAGGCAACUCUGAACCAGCCAUGCCGCGUGCAGGAAGAAGGCCCUAUGGGUCGUAAACUGCUUUUGUACCAGAGAAAACCACAGUACGUGUACUGUGUUGAUAGUAUGGUAAGAAUAAGCAUCGGCUAACUUCGUGCCAGCAGCCGCGGUAAGACGAAGGAUGCAAGCGUUAUCCGGAUUCAUUGGGUUUAAAGGGUGCGUAGGCGGACUGAUAAGUCAGUGGUGAAAUCUCUCAGCUUAACUGAGAAACUGCCAUUGAUACUGUUAGUCUAGAGUAUAGAUGACGUUGGCGGAAUAUGACAUGUAGUGGUGAAAUACUUAGAUAUGUCAUAGAACACCGAUUGCGAAGGCAGCUAACGAAACUAUAACUGACGCUGAGGCACGAAAGUGCGGGGAUCAAACAGGAUUAGAUACCCUGGUAGUCCGCACCGUAAACGAUGAUUACUCGUUGUUGGCAAUAUGACCGUCAGCGACCAAGCGAAAGCGAUAAGUAAUCCACCCUGGGGAGUACGCCGGCAACGGUGAAACGUCAAAGAGAGUGACGGNGAGAGAGNGACGACGGACGACACGGAGGGAGGAG